rnacentral:rRNA from 1 species
CCUACGGGUGGCAGCAGUAGGGAAUAUUGCUCAAUGGGGGAAACCCUGAAGCAGCAACGCCGCGUGGAGGAUGAAGGUUUUCGGAUUGUAAACUUCUUUUGGUAGAGAAGAUAAUGACGGUAUCUAACGAAUAAGUACCGGCUAACUCCGUGCCAGCAGCCGCGGUAAUACGGAGGGUGCGAGCGUUACUCGGAAUAACUGGGCGUAAAGAGCACGUAGGCGGGAACGCAAGUCAGAUGUGAAAGCCUAUGGCUUAACCAUAGAACUGCAUUUGAAACUGUUAUUCUAGAGUAUGGUAGGGAUGGGUAGAAUUCUUGGUGUAGGGGUAAAAUCCGUAGAGAUCAGGAGGAAUACUGAUUGCGAAGGCGGCCUGCUAGGACAUAACUGACGCUGAUGCGCGAAAGCGUGGGGAGCAAACAGGAUUAGAUACCCUUGUAGUC